UUAAUAUAAUUAUGAGCAAGUUGGCGGCGUUAAUGUUAUAUCACAUUAUUAUUAAAGAUAAUUAUAUUAAAUGAUAUUUAAAAUAGAAUAUGUCAAACUUUAUAGAUCAUUCUUCUUCUAAUAUCUUUAAGAAAAAGGCUUGUAGGUGAGGAAUAUACAGAAAGAAACGAAUAAAAUGUCAAGGCUGUUCGAUGGACGCCCGAGGCUUUUCUAACUGCGGAACUGGGAACAUCGACAUUACGCAAGUUCUUAGUCUCUAUUCCAAUUAUUUUAUAUAUGUUACUUAUGCUUUCUGCUUCCACAAAGAAUUUUAUGAUGGUCAAUUAUUUCUUCUAUUUCAGGCAAGUUUAAUAACAAUAAGUGAAAUUCAUGAUUAGAAAUAUAAUUCUGUUAUCUUUUUCAAGAAAACUAAUUGUAUUCUAAUUACAAUCAUUUGGAUCAUUGAAACAAAAUAAACAUAAUAGCAAUGACAUUAAGUAUAUGUAAGUUAAAAGCAAUUAUAAAAAAACAGAGAUGGAAUAAACAUUGAAGAGAAAAUAGAAGAAAAAAGAUAACGUAAGAAGUAAUUAUUAUUGCCAUCUUUUUGAUGUUAAAAAUAUAUUUUAUAAAUCUUUUAAUUUACCGGUAAACUAGAAUAAGAAUUGACUACUAGCUUCAUCUCUUAAGUGCCAAAGAUAUAUCUUCAAUGAGAAGAUAAGGUAGAGAGAAUCAUCAGCACCAUCUCUCGAAUAUCGAAGAUAUUUUUUUCGAAGGCAAGCUAUCACAGGAUACAUGAAGAUACACAUCGAAAAUAAAUUUUCUUUCAUUAUUUGCAACCGAGGCAAUUAUCCACCCUGUUUAAGUGUCUCACAAGUGACAGGAAGAUCUGAUCCCGAUAUCAUGGAGAGGUGUAUCACAAAGAAGAAACGUUACCUGUAACUGUUUCUACAUCCGACGUGGCGUGUGAAACGAACGAGCCAAAAGGACCGAUGCAACAAGAGGCUAGGAGUGCCUUUCUAAUGUCACGGAAGGAGUUACCUUUAAGUAUCGUCGAUGUCGAAUCACAGGAUUCGUUAGAUUGGGAGAGAGGUUCCGAUAAUGGGAGAAUGGUCGAAGAUAUCUAUUGUUCUAUUACAUCUUAUACCCUUCUUAUCCAUCUUUUCCAACAGCCGGUAUAUUGUAAAUAUUUCUUCAAAUAUUAUGAUCAUAUGGCAUAUUAUCAGCGAUAAUCAUUAGCUUUUAUUAGGAGACUUGAAUAAAAAUGAUAUACUAUAAAUGAUUAUUGAUAAAACUGAAAUUACACGUAUCUUAUUAUAACAAAAGAUAAAUAGAAAGUAACAAUCAUUGCUUGAUUGACUUUUCUGUAGCGAUAGAAAUAAAUUUGAUUCUAUGAAAAUCGCAUGAUAUUUGUCACUUUACACGAAUGCGCAUUUGUAAUGCUGUGGUUAAUAACUUCUCUAAAGACGAGCCUCGUAUGUGACCAAUGUGAAAGUAAUUCUAAAAUUAUUGUAGCUCGUAAAGAAGACAGUGAUUACCCUAGCACCCCUGCUGAUUAUUCUCUUAAAUUAUUGGUAACAUGAUUAUGCGAAUAAUCUGUGCAAUCCUACUUUCAUUUAAGAAAAUUUAUAACACCUCCCAAAAGGAGGAAAAAAAAUUUAUGAAAGUAGAAUUUAUUAUAAGUUAUCUUUUAAUAAGUCAAUUUGAAAAUUUGUGAAAGAAUUAUAAAAAUAUUAAUAAUAAAUUUAAAGAUUAUUUUAAUUAUUAUACAAAUUCGUAUUUAUAUAAUUGGAAUAGUAUUGGUUUAUUUAAUCAUGGAAUAUUUGAUUGUUACAGACUUGAUGUCUAUAUCAUUCUCUGUUAGAAAGAAGAAUUAUAUGGAUAAGACAUGCAAAAGCUCGUCAAUAUGCGUUCACUUGAGGCAUCAGAAAGAAACUGAACGCCUUUCGUGAAAGUUCCGAGUCCUUGACCUAAUAUUCUGGAUAAAA